GGAAGUUCGAGGGGGACGACCGGGGGGCGGCGAACAAGCGGCAGCGCGCGGAUCCGCUCAGCAACGGGGAGUCCAGUCGAGCAGCUCAAGCAGAAGAGAUCGGCGACGAUGCCGGACACGGCGACAACCUGACGGCGGUGAUGGAGAGCAUGGGCAUCUACGACACCGACCUGAGGGCCCACGGCAACGCCGGCACCCCCGCGGUGAACGAGACCCAGCGCCUCCUCAAGAUCCUCCUGGCGACCCUCAACAAAGCCGUGGCUCAGGGUUCCACGUCGGCGGGCGCCGGCAGCGGGGAGCCGCCCGUCUUCCCCGCCGAGCCCGAUGUCAAGACUCCGAAUGAGCCCGCGACUCAAACCAACUACACGGAGGAGGACAUGGACUGUAGCCCCGGUAGUCCACUCAGCUCGGGCUCCCCAGCAGAGCAAGCUCUCGCCUCAGACAGCUCCACCUGGGUGAACCCCGCCAUUACAGAACAAGCGCAGCCUCUUCCCAAGCCUCUUCCCGAGGCCGUGCCGGUGGCGGUCGGCAACGCGGAGCCGAAGACGAAGACGCCCGCAGCCGCGGCACCGGAAAAGGCUGCCGCGCCCGCGUUACCGGCCGCGGAGGAGGUUCUCUUCCGGCCCUCCAUCAGCCUGGACACCAUACUCAACCAGGAGAUUCACAGCCUCACUUCGGACAUUAAGAACAUCAUGCAGACUCACCGCAUCUGCUACUCCUCGCGGCUGUCCGCCCGGUUGACCCCCGCGCCACCAGCUGGCUGCCCAACAGCUGCUUCUCGGACUACGUGGUGCCCUUCGUGUCCCCGGUGUGCCCGUCCUGGGCCACGUCAAGGCGCUGUGCGAGAAGAUGGACCGGUUGAUCCCGGCCCCCGCCCGCCGCUCCCUCCGAGGUCACUUCCCCGCCGCCCCCCGGUGACGACGUCCAAUCUCAUAACGCCGCCCCCACACCCCGGUACAGACUCCCAAACCCAAAGCGGAGCCCUCCCUGUCAAAGAGCGCCGCCUCCUCCUCCUCCUCCUCCUCCCGCAGUGGUAA
rnacentral:lncRNA from 1 species